GGGGAAUAUUGCACAAUGGGCGCAAGCCUGAUGCAGCGACGCCGCGUGAGGGAUGGAGGCCUUCGGGUUGUAAACCUCUUUUAUCGGGGAGCAAGCGAGAGCGAGUUUACCCGUUGAAUAAGCACCGGCUAACUACGUGCCAGCAGCCGCGGUAAUACGUAGGGUGCAAGCGUUAUCCGGAAUUAUUGGGCGUAAAGGGCUCGUAGGCGGUUCGUCGCGUCCGGUGUGAAAGUCCAUCGCUUAACGGUGGAUCCGCGCCGGGUACGGGCGGGCUUGAGUGCGGUAGGGGAGACUGGAAUUCCCGGUGUAACGGUGGAAUGUGUAGAUAUCGGGAAGAACACCAAUGGCGAAGGCAGGUCUCUGGGCCGUUACUGACGCUGAGGAGCGAAAGCGUGGGGAGCGAACAGGAUUAGAUACCCUGGUAGUCCACGCCGUAAACGGUGGAUGCUGGAUGUGGGGCCCGUUCCACGGGUUCCGUGUCGGAGCUAACGCGUUAAGCAUCCCGCCUGGGGAGUACGGCCGCAAGGCUAAAACUCAAAGAAAUUGACGGGGGCCCGCACAAGCGGCGGAGCAUGCGGAUUAAUUCGAUGCAACGCGAAGAACCUUACCUGGGCUUGACAUGUUCCCGACGGUCGUAGAGAUACGGCUUCCCUUCGGGGCGGGUUCACAGGUGGUGCAUGGUCGUCGUCAGCUCGUGUCGUGAGAUGUUGGGUUAAGUCCCGCAACGAGCGCAACCCUCGCCCCGUGUUGCCAGCGGAUUAUGCCGGGAACUCACGGGGGACCGCCGGGGUUAACUCGGAGGAAGGUGGGGAUGACGUCAGAUCAUCAUGCCCCUUACGUCCAGGGCUUCACGCAUGCUACAAUGGCCGGUACAACGGGAUGCGACGCGGCGACGCGGAGCGGAUCCCUGAAAACCGGUCUCAGUUCGGAUCGCAGUCUGCAACUCGACUGCGUGAAGGCGGAGUCGCUAGUAAUCGCGAAUCAGCAACGUCGCGGUGAAUGCGUUCCCG
rnacentral:rRNA from 1 species